rnacentral:rRNA from 1 species
GGCAGAGGUGCCAAGCGUUAGGCGGAAUCACUGGGCUUAAAGCGUGUGUAGGCGGGUGCCUAAGUACCUUGUGAAAUCCCCCGGCUCAACCGGGGAACGGCUGGGUAUACUGGGUGCCUUGGGUCAUCUAGGGGCUGCCGGAACAAAUGGUGGAGCGGUGAAAUGCGUAGAUAUCAUUUGGAACGCCAACGGCGAAAGCAGGCAGCUGGGGAUGCACCGACGCUGAGACACGAAAGCCAGGGGAGCGAACGGG